rnacentral:rRNA from 1 species
GAUGAACGCUGGCGGCGUGCCUAAUACAUGCAAGUCGAGCGAAUGGAUUAAGAGCUUGCUCUUAUGAAGUUAGCGGCGGACGGGUGAGUAACACGUGGGUAACCUGCCCAUAAGACUGGAUAACUCCGGGAAACCGGGGCUAAUACCGGAUAACAUUUUGAACCGCAUGGUUCGAAAUUGAAAGGCGGCUUCGGCUGUCACUUAUGGAUGGACCCGCGUCGCAUUAGCUAGUUGGUGAGGUAACGGCUCACCAAGGCAACGAUGCGUAGCCGACCUGAGAGGGUGAUCGGCCACACUGGGACUGAGACACGGCCCAGACUCCUACGGGAGGCAGCAGUAGGGAAUCUUCCGCAAUGGACGAAAGUCUGACGGAGCAACGCCGCGUGAGUGAUGAAGGCUUUCGGGUCGUAAAACUCUGUUGUUAGGGAAGAACAAGUGCUAGUUGAAUAAGCUGGCACCUUGACGGUACCUAACAAGAAAGCCACGGCUAACUACGUGCCAGCCGCCGCCGUAA